GCGCGGUUAGUUCAGUGGUUAGAAUUCUCGCUUCCCAUCCCAAUGUGGGUUAGCGAGAGACCCGGGUUCGAAUCCCGGAUCGCGCA
rfam:Chaetomium thermophilum var. thermophilum DSM 1495 unplaced genomic scaffold scf7180000011815, whole genome shotgun sequence.